rnacentral:tRNA from 1 species
GGAGGGGUGGCGGAGAGGUUACGCGUCCGCCUGCAGAGCGGAUUCAGAGCGUCCAGCAAAUGCGCCUUUGACGAAGAUAUGUGGGUUCGAAUCCCACCCCCUCCU